GUGUCUGCACAUGCUUGCAGGAAAAUUCAUUGCCAUCACAUCAGCUGGGAAAGGCCACUCAAAGACAAGAGGGAUAGCUGGCAUUGAGGGUGUUUGAAAGUGCACCAACGUCUUUACGUUCCUAGAAGUUUAAUGAGAUUCGGGAUGUCGUGGAAUACUUGAACAAACUUCUACAGAUGCAUUGUUUAAACGUAUCCUGACUGCUUGCAUCAUGGACUAGUAUGCAGGAACACGAUAGACUCUAGAAGGUGUUGGAAUCAGCCCAGUCCAUCAUAGCCACAGCCCUCCCCACCAUCGAAAACCUCUGCACAAGAUACUGCCCCAUGAAGGCAGAAUCUAUCAUCGUGGAUCCACACCAUCUGGGCCAUGAUCUCUUCCCCCCAGUACUAUCAGGCAGGAGGCACAGAGUCCUGAAGUUCCACACCAUCGUGUUCAGGAACAACGACAUUCUUGAACCAAUCUACAACCCUAAUCCUACAUCAGCAAUGGAACACUAAGGACCACCUCUUACAAUUCCCAUAGUUUCCUAAUUGUGUUUUCCACUAAUGUAUAAGUCUAGGUGCUUGUGAUGUUGCUGCCAAUAAGUUUUCAAUGUACCUCACUGUAUCUGUGCAAUUAACAAUAAACUCGACUGGACUGUUGUAUUAUAGUAAUAUGAGUGGGAGAUUUCAACUUCCCUAAUAU